rnacentral:rRNA from 1 species
UAAAAAUCUAGCCCCACCACCUCACAUAAAACUUUACCAAUUAAUACCCCUAAUCAAAACAUUUUAACAUCUUAGUAAAGGCGAUUGAAAAAUUAUUUGGAGCUAUAAAAAUAGUACCGCAAGGGAAAGAUGAAAUAAAAAUGAAAUAAAUAUCAAGCACAAAAAAGUAGAGAACUCCCCUCGUACCUUUUGCAUCAUGGUUUAACCAGUCAAAUUAAGCAAAACGACUUAUAGUUUAACCCCCCGAAACUAAGUGAGCUACUUCAAGGCAGCCAAUCGAGCAAACCCGUCUCUGUUGCAAAAGAGUGGGAAGACCUUCAAGUAGGGGUGAUAGACCUAACGAACUUAGUGAUAGCUGGUUACUCAAGAAAAGGAUUUUAGUCCAAUCUAAAGUUUCCAAUAAUAAAAAUAAAUACCACCAACAACUUUAGAGUCAUUCAGAUAAGGUACAGCCUAUCUGAAAAAGGAGACAACCUAUAAAGAUGGGUAACUACUGUUUACAAUAAUCAAGUGGGCCUAAAAGCAGCCACCUUUAAGACAGCGUCAAAGCUCCGUUAUCACUACCUCUAAUUCCUCUAAUAACCCGGAACCCUCCACCACCAUUGAGUACUUCUAUAGCCGUAUAGAAUAUUUUAUGUUAAAACUAGUAACAAGAAGAAGAACUUCACCUAAAUGCAAGUGUAAAUCAGAAAGGACUAACCACUGACUGUUAACAUUCAUGCAGACUAAUUAAUAAAUUAUCAAGAAAAAGUUAAUUAAAAUUAUGUUAAUCUAACACAAGAGCAUUUCAAGUAAGAUUUUAAGAAAAAGAAGGAACUCGGCAAAUAUUAACCUCGCCUGUUUACCAAAAACAUCGCCUCUUGACAUAAUAUAAGAGGUCCAGCCUGCCCAGUGACUUUGUUCAACGGCCGCGGUAUCCUAACCGUGCGAAGGUAGCGUAAUCACUUGUUCUUUAAAUGAGGACUAGUAUGAAUGGCAUCACGAAGGUUAUACUGUCUCCUUUUUCUAAUCAGUGAAACUAAUCCCCCCGUGAAGAAACGGGGAUUAACCUAUAAGACGAGAAGACCCUAUGGAGCUUCAAACUAAAUAACACUUGCUACAGCCAUAACCUCACUUCAGAGUAAUUAUAUACAUUUUAGCUUCUUGAUUAUUAGUUUUAGGUUGGGGUGACCGCGGAGUAAAAAAUAACCUCCACAUUGAAUGGGAAAAACUCCCUGAGCUGUGAACUACACCUCUAAGCACCAAUAAAUUGACAUCAAUUGACCCAAUAUAUUGAUCAACGAACCAAGUUACCCUAGGGAUAACAGCGCAAUCCGCUUUAAGAGCCCAUAUCGACAAGCGGGUUUACGACCUCGAUGUUGGAUCAGGGUAUCCCAGUGGUGCAGCCGCUACUAAAGGUUCGUUUGUUCAACGAUUAAAACCCU